GCCGGGCGCGGUGGCGCGCACCUGUAGUUCCAGCUACUCGGGAGGCUGAGGCCGGAGGAUCGCUUGAGUCCAGGAGUUCUGGGCUGUCAUACGCUAUGCCGACCGGGUGUUCGGCAUCAAUAUGGUGACCUCCCAGGAGCAGGGGAACACCAGGUUGCCUAAGGAGGGGUGAACCAGCCCAGGUCAGAAACGGAGCAGGUCAAAACUCCUGUGCUGAUCAGAAAUGACUAAAAAUCAAUAAAAGAGAAAGAAGUGUUAAGAAAAAUACCAAUUUUAUUAAAAUGCAUUUUGCUUUU
ensembl:misc_RNA Metazoa_SRP Metazoan signal recognition particle RNA